GCUGGCGGCAGGCUUAACACAUGCAAGUCGAGCGGGCGUAGCAAUACGUCAGCGGCAGACGGGUGAGUAACGCGUGGGAACGUACCUUUUGGUUCGGAACAACACAGGGAAACUUGUGCUAAUACCGGAUAAGCCCUUACGGGGAAAGAUUUAUCGCCGAAAGAUCGGCCCGCGUCUGAUUAGCUAGUUGGUGAGGUAACGGCUCACCAAGGCGACGAUCAGUAGCUGGUCUGAGAGGAUGAUCAGCCACAUUGGGACUGAGACACGGCCCAAACUCCUACGGGAGGCAGCAGUGGGGAAUAUUGGACAAUGGGCGCAAGCCUGAUCCAGCCAUGCCGCGUGAGUGAUGAAGGCCCUAGGGUUGUAAAGCUCUUUUGUGCGGGAAGAUAAUGACGGUACCGCAAGAAUAAGCCCCGGCUAACUUCGUGCCAGCAGCCGCGGUAAUACGAAGGGGGCUAGCGUUGCUCGGAAUCACUGGGCGUAAAGGGUGCGUAGGCGGGUCUUUAAG
rnacentral:rRNA from 1 species